GACGAACGCUGGCGGCGUGCUUAACACAUGCAAGUCGAACGAAGAGCGACGGAAGCUUGCUUCUAUCAAUCUUAGUGGCGAACGGGUGAGUAACGCGUAAUCAACCUGCCCUUCAGAGGGGGACAACAGUUGGAAACGACUGCUAAUACCGCAUACGAUCUAACCUCGGCAUCGAGGAUAGAUGAAAGGUGGCCUCUACAUGUAAGCUAUCACUGAAGGAGGGGAUUGCGUCUGAUUAGCUAGUUGGAGGGGUAACGGCCCACCAAGGCGAUGAUCAGUAGCCGGUCUGAGAGGAUGAACGGCCACAUUGGGACUGAGACACGGCCCAGACUCCUACGGGAGGCAGCAGUGGGGAAUCUUCCGCAAUGGACGAAAGUCUGACGGAGCAACGCCGCGUGAGUGAUGACGGCCUUCGGGUUGUAAAGCUCUGUUAAUCGGGACGAAAGGCCUUCUUGCGAAUAGGGAGAAGGAUUGACGGUACCGGAAGAGAAAGCCACGGCUAACUACGUG
rnacentral:rRNA from 1 species